rnacentral:rRNA from 1 species
GCGUUGUUCGGAUUUACUGGGCGUAAAGGGCGCGUAGGCGGCCAGCACAGGUCAGUUGUGAAAUCUCCGAGCUUAACUCGGAAAGGUCAACUGAUACUGUGCGGCUAGAGUGCGGAAGGGGCAACUGGAAUUCUUGGUGUAGCGGUGAAAUGCGUAGAUAUCAGGAGGAACACCGAUGGCGAAGGCAGGUCUCUGGGCAUUAACUGACGCUGAGGAGCGAAAGCAUGGGGAGCGAACAGG